CGUCCCGAGCAAAAGUAAUACGAGAUAAUAUAUAUCUAAAUAUCUAAAUAAAAGUCCCUCUAAAGGGACUUUUGUUUUAGGACGUGUUAGAAGAGUUUCCCAUUUUGAAUUUGAAAUACGCGUUUGGUCGGUAUUUCGUACCGACAGAGGGAUUUCGGUCGUUGCACCGGUGACGCGCAGUUCCAAUAGAGCCCAAUAGAUCGGCUCCUAGGACAGGUUGAAAUUUGUUCCCGCCAUUAAAAGCGGAGGGCAAUGGCGGUGGAGACACGAAUUAGGCUGGUUCGGUUUUAGUUCGGUUACCAAUGAUCCGGUGCUCGUUCACUGUCAUUAUCGUCUUUCCAAAACACGUUAUCGGUAACGCCCCCGUCAUGCUCUGGACUCUGGAGGAACAUCUCCGCCGUACACACCCCUUCGGCUGUCAGAUAAUGCCGAUAACGGUUAUGUUCGUCCAUAUCAUUUUCCACUUGCGUCUGGCUCGUGUUCCCGGUCCGUAAGUUUCCUUUCCAUCUAUGCAUUUCUUGGAUGAAUAUUCCACAAUGUUAUCGUCGUGCCGCUAUAAACAUGUCGUUAAUUACCGUCGUCGUUUUAUCGUUUAUUUAUUUAUUUAUAACGCCGACGGUGAAAACAAAGGGGACCGAAUCAGCCCCGAGACUCCGAUCGAUUUAACGAGCCGCUGCAAUAGCCUUGGAAAAUUAGUUCCUGUAGCGCAGAAAAUCCAUUCUACGGUCGAACCGGGAAACGUUACUGGUUCAAGGUCACCGUGGGCGCCUCUACCCUCUGCCGUUCCACCGUAUCUCGCUGCCAGUCCCAUCGAUGCAAGUCAAUUUUUGGUUACGAUGGUUGUAAACAAUCGAAUAAACUGGUCGACCACUA